rnacentral:rRNA from 1 species
GACGAACGCUGGCGGCGUGCCUAAUACAUGCAAGUAGAACGCUGAAGGAGGAGCUUGCUCUUCUGGAUGAGUUGCGAACGGGUGAGUAACGCGUAGGUAACCUGCCUGGUAGCGGGGGAUAACUAUUGGAAACGAUAGCUAAUACCGCAUAACAGUAGAUGCUGCAUGACAUUUGCUUAAAAGGUGCAAUUGCAUCACUACCAGAUGGACCUGCGUUGUAUUAGCUAGUUGGUGGGGUAACGGCUCACCAAGGCGACGAUACAUAGCCGACCUGAGAGGGUGAUCGGCCACACUGGGACUGAGACACGGCCCAGACUCCUACGGGAGGCAGCAGUAGGGAAGCUUCGGCAAUGGACGGAAGUCUGACCGAGCAACGCCGCGUGAGUGAAGAAGGUUUUCGGAUCGUAAAGCUCUGUUGUAAGAGAAGAACGAGUGUGAGAGUGGAAAGUUCACACUGUGACGGUAUCUUACCAGAAAGGGACGGCUAACUACGUG